CAAGAAGCCGAAAGGCUACUUAAAACCAUCGCGAACUUAUCCAAGUUGCUUCGGCGGCGCGGCUCCCCUCACGGGGGACCGCAGCCCCCGCCUCUCAGGAGGUAAGGGGGCAGCCGCCGGAGGUGCGAAACUCUGUAUUAUAGUGGUAUCUCUGAGUAUAAAACAAAUAAGUUA
rnacentral:misc_RNA from 1 species